ensembl:snoRNA small nucleolar RNA, C/D box 90
AUUUAUUCUAGUUUUGUGUCUUAUGAUGAAGCUUCAUAGGGCAGAUUCUGAGCUGAGAAUUGUAAUCUCUCACCACUGAUAAUCACUAUAUGCAAUCUGAAGACACUACCUAUCUC